rnacentral:rRNA from 1 species
CCCGCACAAGCGGUGGAGCAUGUGGUUUUAAUUCGAAGCAACGCGCAGAACCUUACCAGCCCUUGACAUCCCGGUCGCGGAUCGCAGAGAUGCUUUCCUUCAGUUCGGCUGGACCGGUGACAGGUGCUGCAUGGCUGUCGUCAGCUCGUGUCGUGAGAUGUUGGGUUAAGUCCCGCAACGAGCGCAACCCCCGCCUUCAGUUGCCAACGGUUCGGCCGUGCACUCUGGAGGAACUGCCUGUGACAAGCAGGAGGAAGGUGGGGAUGACGUCAAGUCCUCAUGGCCCUUAUGGGCUGGGCUACACACGUGCUACAAUGGCGGUGACAGAGGGAUGCAAUACCGCGAGGUGGAGCAAAUCCCUAAAAGCCGUCUCAGUUCGGAUUGUUCUCUGCAACUCGAGAGCAUGAAGUUGGAAUCGCUAGUAAUCGCAGAUCAGCUCGCUGCGGUGAAUACGUUCCCGGGCCUU